rnacentral:lncRNA from 1 species
AUGUUAUCUAAUAUGUGUAUAACAAACAAUACAUCUAAUGCUAGUAGUGGUAAUGGUACUGGUACUGAUCCCGUAAAUAAUAAUUUAAUUAAAAAAUAUAAUAGUGAUUUGGGUAAAGGAUUACAUGUUGUUUAUGAACAAACAAUAAAAGGAAAUGUACCAAUUACAUAUAUGCUUAUGGGAUCAACCAAUAAUAAAUUAAAUUAUACAAUAUUAGCAAUAGGAUGUAAAGAUGGAGAAGUUUACAUUUAUAAAUGUUUUAAAACAUCUUUUGAAGAAAUAACAUCAACAAGUAUUACAACAGUUAAUGAUCAUACUGUUGACAAUGAUAGAAAUAAUAUUAAUCUUAGUGAUAGUACUAUUACACAAAAUGAAAAAAAUUCAUUAGAAGAUAAUAGUAGUGCUAAUAUAAAAUUCUUAACAAAAUUAUGUGGACAUAAAAAAGCAAUUACUUGUUUAGUUUUUACAAUUAAUGAAAAUAAAAUUAUAUCAACAUCUAUUGAUAGAACUAUAAGAAUAUGGGAAGUAGCAACUGGAUGUUUACUAAAAGUUUUUUCAGAUUCUGCAGCUACACUAUCGGUAUUAUUAUUUCACAAUAAUGUAGAUAUAUUUUUAUGUUCUAAUUGUACAUGUUUAUUAAGAACAGUAAAUUUAAAUACAGGUCAAGCAUAUCAAAAAAUAAAAGUGGAAACAGAAAUAAGAACGUUAGAAAUUGAUUAUACAGGUUUAAAUAUAUUUGCAGGGACAAAAAAUGGUACAAUUUAUUUAUUGCAAUUUAUUUAUAACGAACGUGUUGAAAUAAAUUUCCGAUUCCAUUUUUCUCUAUCACCAAUUACAUGUAUAAAAUUUUGUAGCAAAAGUAAUAUUAAAGGGAAUCCAUAUAUUUUAGUAAAUUCGUGUGAUAAUUAUAUAGGUAUAGUAGAAUGUGCUUAUGGUACAAAUGGUAUUAUAACAACUUUAUCAGUAACCCACAGGAUAAGAAUUAGACAUUCUUUAUUACCCAUACGAAGUUGUUAUUCUAAUUUUGGUGGUGGAUGGUUACUUUCAGGCUCAGAGGAUGGGCACAUAUAUGUAUGUUCUCUUGACCCGUAUUCGAACUACAAACUUACUUCGUUGAAACACCAUAAGGUAUAUACACCCAUUCUCUCCAUAUAA